rnacentral:sRNA from 1 species
ACCGCGGGGUGAACUACCUACUCUCCUUCGUACUGUGCAUAUCUGAACCCGACCCAUUCCAGGGGGUGCACAGAUUUGUUGGUUCAAUACCCGCCAAUGGCUGAUUAACUCAUCAUGUUACAUUUGCUGACUUGAAUCAAGGCACAGUAGUUAGUUUUGCUGAACCACCCCAUUUUUCUUAAAUUUCGGUCAUUUCUCCAUCCUAUUCGUGGGACGGGAGUGUCACAAUACCACUCGAUAUAUCUUCCCUCAAGGUUUCUGCGGCUCAGCUGCAGAUUCUCCACACCUCUUCUCACAUUGAAUUGAUUCAACACAUACUAUAAAUAUCGCAACCAGGGUGCAUCUGACUUAUCCAAGUAUUUCUGUAAUGCCUGGGUUGAGGGCUGAGGUAUCCCCCAGGGGGGUUAACUAGAAACAGGGUACGGGUUCCAAUAACAGCGGUGGCUGUUAUUGUGUAUGACCUUUUUGGUCGAGUGGUUAAGGGCCAGUCUGUGCCUAGAAGCCAUUACAAUUUCAAGAAACCUACUAGAACCCCAAGAUUUCGAAUCUCUACCCUUCCUGUUCACUUUGUGUUUCAAAACGGACCCAGGUGCAUGGUAUAAAAUUGGCUAAAUGAGGGCUCCCUGCUCUUCAUUGACAAUCUGAGCUAUCCGAAGGUUGCUACAAUUAGUACACUCUCAACUUUCCAGUACAGCUUUAGUUUGAAAAGUUGACAUCUUUAAAGUGUAACUAUAAUUGUCAACAGCUUUCCAAGGUAUAAGAUCUCUGAGUUCUAAUUUGUCUCAUUUGUCGAAUAUCUUGGGGGUCUGUUGUGGCAUUCAUGGUAGCUUUCUUUAUAAAUCUAGGAAUUACAGCAGUCAGCCACGCCGGUAUCUUGUUGGUACGCAUGAGUAUGCUAACCAGUGUGAAUAAUAUGAGCCUUAGAAGAUAUUAAGAGCGGUUAACAGCUCCAGUAGUAAUGAAUGGCAUG